rnacentral:rRNA from 1 species
AGUGAACGCUGGCGGUAGGCCUAACACAUGCAAGUCGAACGGCAGCACAGUAAGAGCUUGCUCUUACGGGUGGCGAGUGGCGGACGGGUGAGGAAUACAUCGGAAUCUACUUUUUCGUGGGGGAUAACGUAGGGAAACUUACGCUAAUACCGCAUACGACCUACGGGUGAAAGCAGGGGAUCUUCGGACCUUGCGCGAUUGAAUGAGCCGAUGUCGGAUUAGCUAGUUGGCGGGGUAAAGGCCCACCAAGGCGACGAUCCGUAGCUGGUCUGAGAGGAUGAUCAGCCACACUGGAACUGAGACACGGUCCAGACUCCUACGGGAGGCAGCAGUGGGGAAUAUUGGACAAUGGGCGCAAGCCUGAUCCAGCCAUACCGCGUGGGUGAAGAAGGCCUUCGGGUUGUAAAGCCCUUUUGUUGGGAAAGAAAAGCAGCAGGUUAAUACCCCGCUGUUCUGACGGUACCCAAAGAAUAAGCACCGGCGAACUUCGUG